GACGAACGCUGGCGGCGUGCUUAACACAUGCCAGUCGAACGAUGAACCCGGAGCUUGCUCUGGGGGAUUAGUGGCGAACGGGUGAGUAACACGUGAGUAACCUGCCCUGGACUCUGGGAUAAGCGUUGGAAACGACGUCUAAUACCGGAUAGGACCUUGGAUCGCAUGAUCUGGGGUGGAAAGUUUUUUCGGUCUGGGAUGGACUCGCGGCCUAUCAGCUUGUUGGUGAGGUAAUGGCUCACCAAGGCGUCGACGGGUAGCCGGCCUGAGAGGGUGACCGGCCACACUGGGACUGAGACACGGCCCAGACUCCUACGGGAGGCAGCAGUGGGGAAUAUUGCACAAUGGGCGAAAGCCUGAUGCAGCAACGCCGCGUGCGGGAUGACGGCCUUCGGGUUGUAAACCGCUUUUAGUAGGGAAGAAGGGCAUCGGCUUGACGGUACCUGCAGAAAAAGGACCGGCUAACUACGUG
rnacentral:rRNA from 1 species